AUAUGUAUCACGCUCUAAUAGUAAAAGUGUGUAGCGAGAGUUGACGAAAUU
rnacentral:guide_RNA from 1 species